UUUUCCUCUGCCUCUUCCUCUUCCUCUUCCUCUUCCUCUUCCUGUCCUGCCAGCUCCAGCUGCAUGGGCCUGUCGGAGGCUGUCCUUCCUCCUCCCAUGCUGUGUGAGUUAGUC
rnacentral:miRNA from 1 species